rnacentral:rRNA from 1 species
AUGUAAUGUUAUUCCUACAACAUUAAUACACCAUAUCCCAUUAGAACUCUACAAUUAAGCAUGAUUGGGAUAAAGUAGUACUGGGAUGGGUGACCUCUCAGAAAGUUAUAGUGUUUUACAUG